GAGUAGAUUGCAUAUUCCUCAUGGAUAAAAUAAAUCUUAAAUCCAAUUACACUGAGUAUUGUAUCAAUAAAGUGGCUACACCAUAGCCUUAGCAAAAAAAAAAAACUUAGUUCAUGCUUAAAAAAAAAGAAACAGGAAAUAAAAUAAGAAGUGUUCUCUGAUUUUCAGCAAACUCAGAAUUUUCAGCAAUCUUAUUUCUUCAGUAGUUCAGAUUUUCAUCACUCUAGAUCUUCAGCAGUUUGUUUCCAGCAAUCUGUUCUUCAAAGCUCUUGUUCCCAGCAAUCUGUUCUUCAACAAAUCUGGUUUUCAGCAUUUUUCAGCAUUUUGUUGGGCGAGAAGAGAUGUGGAAGAAGAACCCAAGAGGUAAGAGAGAGAGGCC
rnacentral:lncRNA from 1 species